rnacentral:misc_RNA from 1 species
UCACGCCCGAAGUCGUUACUCCAACCCUUGUGGAGGAGGACGUCGAAGGUGGGGCUGAUGACUGGGGUGAAGUCGUAACAAGGUGGCCGUACCGGAAGGUGCGGCUGGAUCACCUCCUAACAGGGAGACAAACAACGAUUUUGAUGUCUGAGUGUUUUUAUUCUUAGGCCGAAAUCCUGUCACCUUAGGUCGAUCGGUACCUCGGCUUUGAAGCCAUCAAAUUUGCAGCGAUGCAAGUGAGGAUGGUGGAGAUUUUUAGUUCCUAAACUUUGUCUAGGUCACACCCCUGAAGGGAUGAGACUCCUGGGCCAUUAGCUCAGGUGGUUAGAGCGCACCCCUGAUAAGGGUGAGGUCCCUGGUUCAAGUCCAGGAUGGCCCAUUCGGUGUUGGGGGUUUAGCUCAGUUGGUAGAGCGCCUGCUUUGCAAGCAGGAUGUCAGGAGUUCGAGUCUCCUAACCUCCACUGACCGAACUGUAUCCCCAUCUCCAAAAGGAAUUGGAGUAUGAGUUCGACUGGAGUGUGAUUUUAGACGUGUCCGCUGGAUGACCCCAGCUUCCUGUCAUUCCAAAUGAAAGCAAAGAGAGUUUUGCUUGUUGUGUUUGGUUGAUAAGAUGCUGGGCUCAAGUCAAAUGAUCAAGCAAUUGAUGAUUUGAUUUGAAGUUCUAGCAGAACCUUGACAACUGCAUAGGUAAGUCUGGAAAGAAUAAAGCAUCUCAUGGAUGAUGCGAUGACUCUAGAUGAUGAUCCGAAAGGAUGAUUAAAAGGAGUGAUUGCAAAUUCUAUAGAGCAAGAGCCGAGACUCCAUCACGUUCUUUUGAUUGUGUCGAGCAAUCAAGAGUUUGAUUCUUGAUUCAGAAAUGAAUCAGGGAAAAUCUGUUUCAACAACAGCAAGCGUGUUGGAGAUUAUAUGGUCAAGCUACAAAGAGCUCACGGCGGAUACCUAGGCACACAGAGG